UACAGAGGUCUCAAGCGUUGUUCGGAUUCAUUUGGGCGUAAAGGGUGCGUAGGCGGCGCGGUAAGUCGGGUGUGAAAGUCUCGGAGCUUAACUCCGAAACUGCAUUCGAUACUGCCGUGCUUGAGGACUGGAGAGGAGACUGGAAUUUACGGUGGUAGCGGUGAAAUGCGUAGAUAAUCGUAAGGAAGACCAGUGGCGAAAGGCGGGUCGUCUGGACAGGUUCCUGACGCUGAGGCACGAAGGUCAGGGGAGCAAACGGGA
rnacentral:rRNA from 1 species